AGACGAUUCAGCGUGAAAUUAAUGUCAACAAACCCACGUGGAGCACAAAUGAUUUACAAUGGUUGACUGGAAGUGACAGGCCUUCUCUUCAAAACAAACAAGGAUGGGCCAAAACUGUAAAAUCUGGACAGAAAUUAAAACGCAAGCAUAAGAACUACAUUGUGUUUUGUAUAGAUGUGUCCCUGCUACGGAGGCAGCUAACAGAAAGGGGAUAUAAUUAAGAUUGCAUUGUGGAUUUGCCCUGUGCCACCUCUAAAUGGCAGAAGAAAACUCAACUCAGCAAAACCAGAAACACUUUUCUGAAGAAAAUUCUGCCAAGAGACAGUUGUGAAGGGAAUCGUGUAGAUAAUCUCCAGAAAAGAAAUCACCACUGAUAUUGGGAUCUAUGUACCAAUAUUUUAAUACAAUCAUCAAAGACAAAUUUACCACAGGAAUAAAACUAAAACUGUCUGGCAUUCAAGGGCCUGUCAUGGUAGAAGCUCUCCUGAAAAAAUAUUCCAUUUAUUGUGGACAUCAUGACACAGGGUCCACCUGUCAUCAGCAUUAAAGACUUGUGUGAUUUGUUCUACCUGGGCCAUACAUGUAUUGAAUGAAAACAAUUCAUAGAACCACAAGCACAUUGUAAAUCUAUGUAAGGUCUUCUGUGUAUGUUGUAUUCCUUAUAUAAUUUGCUGUUUUAUAACAAGACUUUGUUUCAUUGGUACUAAAACUUAAUACAUGUACACAUACAAAACCCAAAAGCAGUUGUGAUAUCUAUUGUUUUUUAUUACUCAUUAGUUCUCAUUUUUGUGUGAAAUUUUAUAAUUUUCCAUUCCUUGUUCCCCAAAACCAUGUCUUACAAAUUUUAUGUAUUGCAACUUGCAUUUCAAUUUUAACUUGUUAUACUUGACAAAAAACAAGAGGUACUGUGAGCAAUGAACUGACUAAAUGAUACCCCCGCCUCCCAUAUGAUUAUAAUGGAAAAGUCCAUGUUUUGCUGUGGCCGGGAAACCCAAAAUAUUUGUCAGAUCAAAAAGUAAAAGAGGAGGUGCACAAUGGCAAUAUGUAAUAAAGAUUCUGUGAAGGUUUCAUUAAAUUUCACUCAGUGGUAUAAGAGGAACUGCGGAUAAGAUAUGAGUACCCCAAAGCGUAACAGACGGACGAACGGACAGCCAGACGUACGUACGGACGGACAUACCGAUAACAGUAUACCCUCCCACUUUUCAAGCGGGGGUACAAUAAAUGUUAAAAUGUUUAUAUUGCUAUUGACGUGACUUAUUCUCAUGUAUCCGCAUCAAAACCGAGACAUAUUGUUUAUUCUUGUUCCUUGGUUUCAAUACUACAAUCCAUCAAAAUAUUUAUCACCCCCCCCCUUUAAAAAAGAUUAUGCUUCAAAUAUGUGUCAUUAAAGUUUUGCACAUGAGAACCUGCAAACAUGC